rnacentral:tRNA from 1 species
CGGGGUGUAGCGCAGCCUGGUAGCGCGCCUGCUUUGGGAGCAGGAUGUCGUAGGUUCAAAUCCUAUCACCCCGACCA